UACGUAGGCACAAAGCGUUGUUCGGAAUUACUGGGCGUAAAGCGAGUGUAGGCGGUUUGCCAAGUCGGUUGUGAAAUCUCCCGGCUUAACUGGGAGGGUGCGACUGAAACUGGCAGGCUGGAGUGCGGGAGAGGAGAGUGGAAUUCCUGGUGUAGCGGUGAAAUGCGUAGAUAUCAGGAGGAACACCGGUGGUGAAGACGGCUCUCUGGACCGCUACUGACGCUGAGACUCGAAAGCGUGGGGAGCAAACAGG
rnacentral:rRNA from 1 species